GUGGGGAAUAUUGGACAAUGGGCGCAAGCCUGAUCCAGCAAUGCCGCGUGAGUGAUGAAGGCCUUAGGGUUGUAAAGCUCUUUCACCGGGGAAGAUAAUGACGGUACCCCCAGAAGAAGCCCCGGCUAACUCCGUGCCAGCAGCCGCGGUAAUACGGAGGGGGCUAGCGUUGUUCGGAAUUACUGGGCGUAAAGCGCACGUAGGCGGACCAGAAAGUCAGGGGUGAAAUCCCGGGGCUCAACCCCGGAACGGCCUUUGAAACUCCUGGUCUUGAGGUCGAGAGAGGUGAGUGGAAUUCCGAGUGUAGAGGUGAAAUUCGUAGAUAUUCGGAGGAACACCAGUGGCGAAGGCGGCUCACUGGCUCGAUACUGACGCUGAGGUGCGAAAGCGUGGGGAGCAAACAGGAUUAGAAACCCUUGUAGUCC
rnacentral:rRNA from 1 species